rnacentral:rRNA from 1 species
GUGAACGCUGGCGGCGUGCCUAACACAUGCAAGUCGAGCGGUGCAGCUGGAAGCUUCGGCGGAAGGCUGCACAGCGGCGGACGGGUGCGUAACACGUAGGAACGUGCCCCCUGGAGGCGGAUAGCUGUGGGAAACUGCAGGUAAUCCGCCGUAGACUCGGGAGAGUAAAGGCCGAAAGGUGCCAGGGGAGCGGCCUGCGGCCCAUCAGGUAGUUGGUAGGGUAAAGGCCUACCAAGCCGACGACGGGUAGCCGGUCUGAGAGGAUGGCCGGCCACAAGGGCACUGAGACACGGGCCCUACUCCUACGGGAGGCAGCAGUGGGGGAUUUUGGACAAUGGGCGAAAGCCUGAUCCAGCGACGCCGCGUGGAGGAAGAAGCCCUUCGGGGUGUAAACUCCUUUUGUCAGGGAAAAAAGCUGAUGGUACCUGACGAAUAAGCCCCGGCUAACUACGUGCCAGCAGCCGCGGUAAUACGUAGGGGGCGAGCGUUACCCGGAAUCACUGGGCGUAAAGGGUGCGUAGGCGGCCGAGUGUGUCUGGCGUUAAAAUCCACGGCUCAACUGUGGGUAUGCGCUGGAAACUGCUUGGGCUUGAGUGCAGCAGAGGCAGACGGAACUGCUGGUGUAGAGGUGAAAUUCGUAGAUAUCAGCAGGAACGCCGGUGGAGAAGUCGGUCUGCUGGGCUGUAACUGACGCUGAGGCACGAAAGCUAGGGGAGCAAACCGGAUUAGAUACCCGGGUAGUCCUAGCCGUAAACGAUGCUCACUUGGUGUGGGGGCGAAGAGUCUCCGUGCUGAAGCUAA